GGGUAAUGGCCUACCAAGGCAACGAUGCAUAGCCGACCUGAGAGGGUGAUCGGCCACACUGGGACUGAGACACGGCCCAGACUCCUACGGGAGGCAGCAGUAGGGAAUCUUCCGCAAUGGACGAAAGGCUGACGGAGCAACGCCGCGUGUAUGAAGAAGGUUUUCGGAUCGUAAAGUACUGUUGUUAGAGAAGAACAAGGAUAAGAGUAACUGCUUGUCCCUUGACGGUAUCUAACCAGAAAGCCACGGCUAACU
rnacentral:rRNA from 1 species